rnacentral:rRNA from 1 species
CACGUAGGGCGCAAGCGUUGUCCGGAAUUAUUGGGCGUAAAGAGCUCGUAGGCGGUCUGUUACGUCUGCUGUGAAAACCCAGGGCUUAACCCCGAGCCUGCUUCCGAUACGGGCAGACUAGAGGUAGGCAGGGGAGAGCGGAACUCCUGGUGUAGCGGUGGAAUGCGCAGAUAUCAGGAAGAACACCGGUGGCGAAGGCGGCUCUCUGGGCCUUACCUGACGCUGAGGAGCGAAAGCGUGGGUAGCGAACAGG